ensembl:lncRNA
UUGUAAGUUUAGAUAUUUCCCCAAGACAGAAUGGGAAACAUUUUCUGAAGGCAGGAGGAGAAAGAAGCUGGUUGCUGAAUGAGUGAUGAAGAGUUUAUAGAGGUAGAAAGAGAAGCUCUGGCUUGUGAACCAUCUUCAAGAAGAAUGAAUACAAAGUAUGAGCUUUCCCUCUUGUGUUUUUCCUUGCAGAUACCUUGACUGUGAACAAUGGUUUCAAUAAGGAAGAUAGAAUGAGUUCUGACAGGAAGGUUGGGAGCUGUGACAGGCAGAAGAAAAAUGAAGCCAAACAGCACAGAGAUGUGUCAUCAUUGCUGGGUUCUACCUUGAUCUACAUUCAGUUAUCACUUCUUUUCAAAAUGCUUGGAUCUCCUUCAAGAAACAGCAUAUAUGUUCUGACUUUGAAGUAAUGGCUGAUCUUUCAGACUUCCUGUUCAGCAAGCCCCAAGCCUCGUGACAGGACUUCUGCUCUGUUUACCAAUAGUGUGAGUCAGGGCUUGUGGUUGUGGCACAGUCAGCCCCACAGCAGCUUUAUCUCCUCUGACUUGAGGGAAGCCACCAAUGGACUGGAAGGGGAAUCUGGAAGAUCCAUUGGUCCUGAGACUUCAACUCUGCAUGCUGUGAUUGCUUUGGCUCUGACCUCGAGGAAUGAAUGUUUUCUGACUUCUGCGUAAAGGCUAGAAGACAAAGAAGAGGUGAGAACAGAGGGAAUAAAGAGCAGAUCUUCCAAUCUCCCAGAAAGUAUGAGAAAGAAAAAGAAAGGUCAAAAGUUGAUCACAAAUACAAUGAAACAGAAACCAGAACGAUGUUGGAUUUCUUAAGAACAGAAAAUAUACAUGAAUAA